rnacentral:rRNA from 1 species
AUGCAUUCCAUUCUCUAUAGCUUCUACUUCAAAUUGUUGAUCUUGCUAGUAGCUAUGGAUCCUAAUGGCUCCUAUCCUAACAUUUCCCCCUUGCAUGAAGCAUUGAGAGGCACGACAGCCAUGCCGACAUUAAAAGAUUUUGUAGCCCUUGAAUCCCCAUCAUCAAAUUCACCUUCAAUAGAAAAUUCCUCACCAAUCAUCCAUGCACCACGAGAAGCUUAUGUGAUGUUAGUCAAUGAUAGAUCCAUGAUUCCAUACCAAUCACAUACAGACCUCGCACCACUACCCCCACAAUUGGGUGAUAUGAUCCCUAAUCCUUUAUCCUUGGACAAAAAAGAAAUGUUCUCACAUGAAGAAUUCCUCACAAAUCCUUUUUGGAAUGACUUUGACUCAUCUCAUCAGAGGCAUAAUAUUUCCAUGGAAGCUUCAUCCUUUACAUCGUUACUCCAAACAGAACAAAAAAUAAUUGUUCAUUCCCAAGUUAUCGCUAUGGGCGAGCCGGAUGAUGGUUCGAUCUCUAAGAUGGACAUCAAGCAUGUCUCAAAGGAACAGAACAUACAAGAUGGGAGAUUGUUAUUUGAUGAUCCUUAUGGUGUACCUACCCCUGGUUCUCCAGGCAUGCGGUCCUCACCUAUUCCAAGAGAAGAUAAAAUCCCUCUAGUUGGUGCAAAUGCUAUUUCUGAUAGUGGUAUUACACAUGGUCCUACAACAGCACGCAAGUACAAAUGCAAGAUUUGCAGUGCCACAUUCAACUCAUCUCAAGCAUAUGGUGGUCACAUGAGUUCGCAUAGCAAAGCAAGGAUGAAAAGCCUACAAAGUUGA